rnacentral:tRNA from 1 species
GGUCUAUUAGUCUAGUGGUUAGGACAUCCGGUUUUGACGAACCGACCUGAGGAAUCACCUCCGGAAGACAUCAGUUCGAAUCUGGUAUAGACCU